GUGGCGCUGAGCCCUGAAGCCGCCGCAUCUCAGACUUCGGAAAGACCUUCCGUGCCAGGCGCUGCCCUUUCCUGCAGAUCCUUCUCCCUGUGCCGCACAUUCCAGGGUGAGUUUCCAGCAUCGUCUGGCCUGGCUGUGUUCUCGUGUUGUACACUCAGUCUUCAUUAUCUCGGUUGCAUCCAGGAUUCAACAACCGUCCAAGUGCUGGCUCCUGUGUUUUUUGUCUUCAAUCAUUCCUGGAAUAAAACUUACAAUCACAUAUAGAAAUGUAUUCUGGGUCACCCACAAUUUUUCCAGAAUAAAGC
rnacentral:lncRNA from 1 species